CCUCCUUUCUAAGGAUGAUUAAGGAUUAUUUCUUAAUCUAAAUAUUUAACAGGUUAAUGUUGACCGUCCUCAUUUCUCUUCUUGAAGUAGUGUUUCUCUUUUCUGCAUAGGGGCCGGUAGCUCAGUUGGUUAGAGCACACCCUUGAUAAGGGUGGGGUCGAAAGUUCGAGUCUUUCUCGGCCCACCAAUAUAAUGGGGGAUUAGCUCAGCUGGGAGAGCGCCUGAUUUGCAUUCAGGAGGUCAGCGGUUCGAUCCCGCUAUCCUCCACCAAGAAACAUUUAGUUAUUUAAUUUGUAAAUAAAUUUUAAUAUUAUCAAUAUCUAUAUCCGAUUGUUCGAAUAGAUGAACAAUCAUGAAUGUUCGAAUAGAUGAACAUUCCAACAAAAUUUGAUUCAACACAGAAUUUUUUUCUGUGCAUAAAUCAAGCGUUUAAGGGCGUGUGGCGGAUGCCUUGGCACUGAAAGCCGAUGAAGGACGUGGUAUACUGCGAUAAGUUUCGGGGAGCUGUAUGCAAGUUUUGAUCCGUAAAUUCCGAAUGGGGAAC
rnacentral:misc_RNA from 1 species